rnacentral:rRNA from 1 species
UACAGAGACUGCAAGCGUUCUUCGGAUUCACUGGGCGUAAAGGGUGCGCAGGCGGCCAAGUGUGUGAGGCGUGAAAGCCCGAAGCUUAACUUCGGAAUUGCACCUCAAACUACAUGGCUAGAGCAUUGGAGAGGGUAGCGGAAUUCACGGUGUAGCAGUGAAAUGCGUAGAUAUCGUGAGGAACACCAGAGGCGAAGGCGGCUACCUGGACAAUUGCUGACGCUCAGGCACGAAAGCGUGGGGAGCAAAAGGG